rnacentral:rRNA from 1 species
AUGGAUCUUCUUAGAUCAGCUAUGGAUAAACUCACUCCUUUAGCUGCUGAUCAGGAUGGAUUGGGACUGCAGCACAAACUAGAAUUCAAAAAAUUGAAAGUUUCAGAGCUAAGUCUAGUACAUGUACCACCAAAUGGGUACAGAAGCGAUGCUGAAGGUAGUGCAAUUGGGAAUUUUAUUGGUUUAUCUGCCCCGGAACGCAAGUGCAAAGCUGGACGUCUGACCAACAGCAGAGACAAGCCUCCAUAUGAUGAUCACGGAGCAAAGUCCAAAAAAGCAAAUUGGUUCCACAUGUGGAUAAUGAUCUAA